rnacentral:rRNA from 1 species
AUUGAACGCUGGCAGCAUGCUUUACACAUGCAAGUCGAACGGUAACAGGCCGCAAGGUGCUGACGAGUGGCGAACGGGUGAGUAAUGCAUCGGAACGUGCCCAGUCGUGGGGGAUAACGCAGCGAAAGCUGCGCUAAUACCGCAUACGAUCUAUGGAUGAAAGCGGGGGACCGUAAGGCCUCGCGCGAUUGGAGCGGCCGAUGUCAGAUUAGGUAGUUGGUGGGGUAAAGGCUCACCAAGCCAACGAUCUGUAGCUGGUCUGAGAGGACGACCAGCCACACUGGGACUGAGACACGGCCCAGACUCCUACGGGAGGCAGCAGUGGGGAAUUUUGGACAAUGUGCGCAAGCCUGAUCCAGCAAUGCCGCGUGCAGGAAGAAGGCCUUCGGGUUGUAAACUGCUUUUGUACGGAACGAAACGGUCCUGGUUAAUACCCGGGGCUAAUGACGGUACCGUAAGAAUAAGCACCGGCUAACUACGUGCCAGCCGCCGCCGUAAUAC